UACGUAGGGGCAAGCGUUGUCCGGAAUCAUUGGGCGUAAAGCGCGUGUAGGCGGUUCGGUAAGUCUGCUGUGAAAGUCCAGGGCUCAACCCUGGGAUGCCGGUGGAUACUGUCGGGCUAGAGUACGGAAGAGGCGAGUGGAAUUCCCGGUGUAGCGGUGAAAUGCGCAGAUAUCGGGAGGAACACCCAAUUGCGAAGGCAGCUC
rnacentral:rRNA from 1 species